rnacentral:rRNA from 1 species
GGUAAAGUCUGACCUGCUCACUGAAUUAAUAUAUUUAAAGAGCCGCGGUAUUUUGACCGUGCAAAGGUAGCAUAAUCAUUAGAUUUUUAAUUGUAAUCUACAAUGAAUGGUUUGACGAGGGGCUGACUGUCUCAAUUAUUAAUUGAUAAAAUUUAACUUUUAAGUUAAAAGGCUUAAAUUUGACUUUAGGACGAGAAGACCCUAUAGAGCUUUAUAUAUAAUUGAAAAUAGGGUUUUGAUAAUUUAUUUUAUUUAUUACUAAUAUAUUUUGUUGGGGUGACAUGAAGAAUAAUUAAACUCUUUAGAUUUAUAAAUCAUUAAUUUAUGAAAGGUUGAUCCAUUAUUUGUGAUUAAAAGAUUAAGUUACCUUAGGGAUAACAGCGUAAUUGUUUUUUAGAGUUCUUAUCAACAAGACAGAUUGCGACCUCGAUGUUGGAUUAAGAUAAGUACUAGUUGUAUCAGUUUAGUAACUAGGUCUGUUCGACCUUUAAUUUCUU